UAGGGAAUCUUCCGCAAUGGACGAAAGUCUGACGGAGCAACGCCGCGUGAGUGAUGAAGGUUUUCGGAUCGUAAAACUCUGUUGUCAGGGAAGAACAAGUACCGGAGUAACUGCCGGUACCUUGACGGUACCUGACCAGAAAGCCACGGCUAACUACGUGCCAGCAGCCGCGGUAAUACGUAGGUGGCAAGCGUUGUCCGGAAUUAUUGGGCGUAAAGCGCGCGCAGGCGGUUCCUUAAGUCUGAUGUGAAAGCCCCCGGCUCAACCGGGGAGGGUCAUUGGAAACUGGGGAACUUGAGUGCAGAAGAGAAGAGUGGAAUUCCACGUGUAGCGGUGAAGUGCGUAGAGAUGUGGAGGAACACCAGUGGCGAAGGCGACUCUUUGGUCUGUAACUGACGCUGAGGCGCGAAAGCGUGGGGAGCAAACAGG
rnacentral:rRNA from 1 species